rnacentral:rRNA from 1 species
GACGAACGCUGGCGGCGUGCCUAAUACAUGCAAGUUGAGCGCUGAAGGUUGGUACUUGUACCAACUGGAUGAGCAGCGAACGGGUGAGUAACGCGUGGGGAAUCUGCCUUUGAGCGGGGGACAACAUUUGGAAACGAAUGCUAAUACCGCAUAAAAACUUUAAACACAAGUUUUAAGUUUGAAAGAUGCAAUUGCAUCACUCAAAGAUGAUCCCGCGUUGUAUUAGCUAGUUGGUGAGGUAAAGGCUCACCAAGGCGAUGAUACAUAGCCGACCUGAGAGGGUGAUCGGCCACAUUGGGACUGAGACACGGCCCAAACACCUACGGGAGGCAGCAGUAGGGAAUCUUCGGCAAUGGACGAAAGUCUGACCGAGCAACGCCGCGUGAGUGAAGAAGGUUUUCGGAUCGUAAAACUCUGUUGGUAGAGAAGAACGUUGGUGAGAGUGGAAAGCUCAUCAAGUGACGGUAACUACCCAGAAAGGGACGGCUAACUACGUG